rnacentral:rRNA from 1 species
UACGUAGGGGGCAAGCGUUAUCCGGAUUUACUGGGUGUAAAGGGGGCGCGGACGGCAAUGCAAGCCAGGAGUGAAAGCCCGGGGCCCAACCCCGGGACUGCUCUUGGAACUGCAUGGCUGGAGUACAGGAGGGGCAGGCGGAAUUCCUAGUGUAGCGGUGAAAUGCGUAGAUAUUAGGAGGAGCACCGGUGGCGAAGGCGGCCUGCUGGACUGUGACUGACGUUGAGGCCCGAAGGCGUGGGGAGCAAACAGG